rnacentral:rRNA from 1 species
UGGGGAAUAUUGGACAAUGGGGGGAACCCUGAUCCAGCCAUGCCGCGUGUGUGAAGAAGGUCUUCGGAUUGUAAAGCACUUUAAGUUGGGAGGAAGGGCAGUAAGCGAAUACCUUGCUGUUUUGACGUUACCGACAGAAUAAGCACCGGCUAACUCUGUGCCAGCAGCCGCGGUAAUACAGAGGGUGCAAGCGUUAAUCGGAAUUACUGGGCGUAAAGCGCGCGUAGGUGGUUCGUUAAGUUGAAUGUGAAAGCCCCGGGCUCAACCUGGGAACUGCAUCCAAAACUGGCGAGCGAGAGUAGGGCAGAGGGUGGUGGAAUUUCCUGUGUAGCGGUGAAAUGCGUAGAUAUAGGAAGGAACACCAGUGGCGAAGGCGACCACCUGGGCUCAUACUGACACUGAGGUGCGAAAGCGUGGGGAGCAAACAGG